UGGGGAAUUGUUCACAAUGGGCGCAAGCCUGAUGACGCAACGCCGCGUGGGGGAUGAAGGUCUUCGGAUCGUAAACCCCUGUCGAAUGGGACGAAAGACUCGCGAGUGAAUACUUCGCGAGAGUGACGGUACCGUUAAAGGAAGCCACGGCUAACUCUGUGCCAGCAGCCGCGGUAAUACAGAGGUGGCAAGCGUUGUUCGGAUUUACUGGGCGUAAAGGGCGCGUAGGCGGCAAUUCAAGUCAUCUGUGAAAUCUCCGGGCUUAACUCGGAACGGUCAGAUGAUACUGCUUUGCUAGAGUGCAGAAGGGGCAAUCGGAAUUCUUGGUGUAGCGGUGAAAUGCGUAGAUAUCAAGAGGAACACCUGAGGUGAAGACGGGUUGCUGGGCUGACACUGACGCUGAGGCGCGAAAGCCAGGGGAGCAAACGGGAUUAGAUACCCUGGUAGUCCCUGAGCGGGCUGGCAAGGCGCAU
rnacentral:rRNA from 1 species